UGGGGAAUAUUGCACAAUGGGCGCAAGCCUGAUGCAGCCAUGCCGCGUGUAUGAAGAAGGCCUUCGGGUUGUAAAGUACUUUCAGCGAGGAGGAAGGCGGUAAGGUUAAUAACCUUAUCGAUUGACGUUACUCGCAGAAGAAGCACCGGCUAACUCCGUGCCAGCAGCCGCGGUAAUACGGAGGGUGCAAGCGUUAAUCGGAAUUACUGGGCGUAAAGCGCACGCAGGCGGUCUGUCAAGUCGGAUGUGAAAUCCCCGGGCUCAACCUGGGAACUGCAUUCGAAACUGGCAGGCUAGAGUCUUGUAGAGGGGGGUAGAAUUCCAGGUGUAGCGGUGAAAUGCGUAGAGAUCAGGAGGAAUACCGGUGGCGAAGGCGGCCCCCUGGACAAAGACUGACGCUCAGGUGCGAAAGCGUGGGGAGCAAACA
rnacentral:rRNA from 1 species